rnacentral:rRNA from 1 species
UACAGAGGUCCCGAGCGUUGUUCGGAUUCACUGGGCGUAAAGGGUGCGUAGGCGGUUUGGUAAGUCUGGCGUGAAAUCUUCGAGCUCAACUCGAAAACGGCGACAGAAACUACCGAGCUAGAGGGUUGGAGGGGGAGCUGGAAUUCUCGGUGUAGCAGUGAAAUGCGUAGAUAUCGAGAGGAACACCAGUGGCGAAGGCGAGCUCCUAGACAGCUUCUGACGCUAAAGCACGAAAGCCAGGGGAGCAAACGGG